CCCGAACGACCAACUCCAGCUGAUUGUUUGGUAGGAAUUCUAACAUAUCUACUGACCUGUCCUCCAGAACCUCUACCACCUCCUGAAGGUGACGAUUUUCUGGAAUGUGAGUCACAGCCUCCUCUCGGGUUUCCAUUGGGACCUCAAGCACCUCCAGAAGAAGGUUAUGUGGAACCUCCAUCACCUCGUGUACUCGAGUGUUUGCUGGGUCCUCAAACAGGUCCUGUAGUGGAGUACCCACUGGAAUAUCAACCACCUCCAGAACGUGAGUGUCCCCUGGAAGAUAGACAACAUCCUAUAACUCAGUGUGAACUGAGACCUCAACCACCUCCAGAACGUGAGUGUCCCCUUGAAGAUCAACAACAUCGUAUAAUUCAGUGUAAACUGGGACCUCAACCACCUCUAGAACGUGAGUGUCCCCUGGAAGAUCAACAAUCACCUAUACUACGAUGUCAACCGGGACCUCAGCCACCUCUUGAACGUGAGUGUCCCCAGGAAGUCCAACAUCCUUUAAUAUUACAGUGCCCCCUGGGACAUCAACCAUCACCACAACGUGAGUGUCCUUUGGAAGUUCAACAACCUCCUAUAAUACAGUAUCCACAGGGACAUCAAACACCUCUUGAACGUGAGUGUCUCCUGGAAGAUCAACAACCACCUAUACUGCAAUGUCAAUUGGGACCUCAACCACCUCUAGAACGUGAGUGUCCCCAGGAAGUCAAAGAACCUCCAAUACUACAGUGCCCACUCGGACAUCAACCAACUCCAGAUUGUGAGUGUCCCCUGGAAGAUCGACAACAUCUUAUAAUUCAGUGUGAACUGGGACCUCAAACACCUCUAGAACGUGAGUGUCCCCGGGAAGUCCAACAACCUCCACUACUACAGGACGCACUGGGACAUCAACCAUCUCCGGAACGUAAGUGUUUCCUGGAAGAUCGACAACCACCUAUAAUACAAUGUCAACCGGGACUUCAACCACCUCGUGAACGUAAGUGUCUCCUGGAAGACCAACAACCACCUAUACUACAAUGUGAACCGGGACCUCAACCACCUCUUGAACAUGAGUGUCCCCAGGAAGUCCAACAACCUCCAAUCCUGCAGUGCCCACUGGGACAUCAACCAUUUCCAGAACGUGAGUGUCCCCGGGAAG
rnacentral:lncRNA from 13 species